rnacentral:lncRNA from 1 species
AUAUCUCGCAUUACGAGUCAUGUCUUAUUCAGGGAAUAAAUAAAGGAUGACCCUGCAAUUAGACCACCCAAAAUACUCCAUGAAAAGGAUACCACAUACCUUCUUAAAUGCAGACUGACAAAGUGGCACUGAUAAGAAGUAUUAGAACUUUACUAGCAUCAUCGACCUUACCUUCAAAUUUCAACGAUAAAAUAAGUAACCAAGAAAUAAGCAGUUUAACUUAGGCUCUAAUAAAUAAAAUAUGGGCAUUGACAAUAAAUUGAAAAGACAUUGUACGUGUGUGGCCAAUUCUCUAUUGGCUAAAGCAAGAGAAUACUAGGUAACCUUCCAUAUCCAGCCCUCCGCCAUGCUUUUGCAGGGACAUUAGUCAAUGAGAGAUAUAUAAAAGGCAGAGCUAGGGAACUAACUCAAACACUUUGCACAAACACAAAAAAGAGAAGAAAAUGAUGCAAUAUAACCAAAGUAUACCCGAGAGGAUCCAGUUUUCAAUACUCUAAGUUGUUGUCAAUAACCAGAAAAGCACGAGCCAGAUGAAAUCUCCCAACCGAGGCAUUUUAAGAAGAAAAAAAAAUCUCCAUUAAAAUCAGAAUAGAAUAAAGAUAACUGAAAAGUAUACAUUAUCACCAAUUCCCCAAAAGCUGUUUAAGAAAUUAAAUUUUACAAUAAGGAUAACAAACAAAAAAGACCAGAAAAGAGAGGCUAAAACUAAGUCAUUCAGUUCCAGCUAUCACAUUUUCAAUUACCCAAGUAUUAAAAGAAUACUUCAUACAUUCAUACAUUACACAAGCAGCAUACUAAUUGAAUUUGCAAGGGUUAAGUUGCGAAGAGCCGAAAAGUUCAGUGAAACGUGACCUAAUUGAAGUUUACUUCAAACUCAUUAGUCACAAAACUAGGAUUACUGAAAAUUAACCAAAACAUAAAAUUGAAGAUGGAAGGAGAAAAGUGUUCACCUAGAAUCGGAUAUCAAAUCGCGAUUGAGAAAAUUGCGAAGUCGGAUGAAGUCGGAUGGAUACAAAUUUGACAAUCAAAUCGCGAUUAAACUCGAAUUUGAAAAGAAAUUAAGACGAUAAACUUAAAGCCUAAUUAGCAAUGUAAGCAUCAAUCUGAUGGCGGAGGCGGUCCGGUGGUGGUAACGAUGGCAGUGGCGUUGAUGGUGAUGGCGAUGGAGCCGGUGGCGGUGGCGGUGGCGUAGCAGGAUCGAAGAAAAGCCCUAGCAUUUCUAAACGACGGGAGAGAGAAACGUAUUAAGAAAAAAAAUGAGAGAGGCUUUUUU